rnacentral:rRNA from 1 species
CAGUCGCGUUGGUUGGGAAUCAGUCCUGCUUCUGCAUGAUGUACUUUCCAGUCAAUGGGUCAGCAUCAGUUUUGACUGCUGGAUAAAGGCUGAGGGAAUGUGGCACCUUUGGGUGUGUUAUAGCGCUUGGUUGUAUACCGUGGUUGGGACUGAGGAUCUCAGGCCGCAAGGCUGUAGGAUGCUGGCAUAAUGGCUUUAANCGACCCGUUUGAAACACGGACCAAGGAGUCUAACAUAUAUG